CAAUUAAUUAUUUUCUACUCUAUUUAAUAUAUGAUUUUUGUACAAGCCCAAUUUUGGGCCCUAAAUACCUUCAUUAAACCCAUUAACCCAAGUUCAUUACAGCCCAAAUACCCAUAGCCCAAACACAAAAUUAAAAAAAGAAAAAACCUAAACUAAGAAACCCUAUCCCACCGCCUCCAGUCACGUCGACAGCAACUGGCCUUUGCUCCACCGCUUCUGCACCUGCAAGCAUUAAGUGAAGGAAUAGACAGAUAUUAAGCAAAAAUAGAAAAAUGUAAUAGAUAUAAAAAAACCGAGCAAAAAACCAUUGUAACUCUCUCGGCAAUCUUUGAUAUAUAUAUACAAAAAAGUUUCAAUCUUUUUUUGAGAAAAAAACAGCAACUCCAGAGAUCAAAAGUAAGAAUUUUGCAUUAGAUCAAACCCAAAAACCCGAGAAAUUAAAACUGAAGGGCCAAGGUGACUCUUCUUUCCUUUUUUUUGUUUCUACUUCAUGGCCAAAUCUAUUCAUUUCACAUUCGUAUAUGCAUGAAUAUGUAAUAUGAAGAAAUAAAAAAGUAAAUACAUUUUAAAACACAAAAAAAAAGAGAAUUUUUUACCUCCAACCGCCGUGCACGACGAUCGCUGGCGACGGAGACGCGGCAGAGGGCGGUGGUAGCUCGUCGGGACCUGACCGAACUUGGACCUGCAGAGAGAGAGAGCAAAGAAAAGUUUAAUUUUUG
rnacentral:lncRNA from 1 species